GUCAAGCGCGGCGACUGGCGUACGGGGAGCUCACCCCGAGGGAGCCGUGUGCGCAGGAGCAUCACGAGGGUGCCGACCGCCUGGGUACCCCGG
rnacentral:ncRNA from 2 species